rnacentral:misc_RNA from 1 species
CAGAGUUGCAAGACUCCCUAAACCAUUGUGAACCUACCCUUCUACCGUUGCUUCGGCGGGCGGGCCCAGCGCCCCCCCCGGCCCCCCGCGGGCGCCCGCCGGAGGAUACCCAAACUCUUGACAUUAGUGGCCUCUCUGAGUAUUCUUUACUGAAUAAGUCCA